GGUUUUGUAGCUCAGUUGGUAGAGCGAUUGCACUGAUGAAAUAAGCAGGCAACACGGACGCUGGUUCGACCCCAGCCAAAACCGCCA
rnacentral:tRNA from 1 species